GAAUGGUUUCCUUGUCCCAGAUGUUGAGAGAGGCCAAGGAGAAGGAGAAGCAGCGGCUGGCACAGCAGCUCACGGCGGAGAGGACUGCACACUAUGGGAUGCUGUUUAAUGAAUAUCAAGGUUUGUCACACCUGGAGAUUCUGUCCAAUGAGAGCGAGAGCAAGGUUCAGUCAUUUUUAGCAUCACUGGAUGGAGAGAAGCUAGAACUCUUGAAAAAUGACCUAAUUUCUAUCAAAGACAUCUUUGUAGCCAAAGAAUCAGAGAAUGAGGAAAAUCCAGAGGAACAAGGCCUAGAAGAAAGCGGGGAAGAAUUUGCUAGG
rnacentral:lncRNA from 1 species